UACGAAGGGGGCUAGCGUUGUUCGGAAUAACUGGGCGUAAAGCGCAUGUAGGCGGAUCUUUAAGUCAGAGGUGAAAUCCCAGGGCUCAACCCCGGCAUUGCCUUUGAUACUGGAGAUCUGGAGUCUGGGAGAGGUGAGUGGAAUUCCGAGUGUAGAGGUGAAAUUCGUAGAUAUUCGGAGGAACACCAGUGGCGAAGGCGGCUCACUGGCCCGAGACUGACGCUGAGAUGCGAAGGCGUGGGGAGCAACCAGG
rnacentral:rRNA from 1 species